GAGCUUGCUCUUAUGAAGUUAGCGGCGGACGGGUGAGUAACACGUGGGUAACCUGCCCAUAAGACUGGGAUAACUCCGGGAAACCGGGGCUAAUACCGGAUAACAUUUUGAACCGCAGGGUUCGAAAUUGAAAGGCGGCUUCGGCUGUCACUUAUGGAUGGACCCGCGUCGCAUUAGCUAGUUGGUGAGGUAACGGCUCACCAAGGCAACGAUGCGUAGCCAACCUGAGAGGGUGAUCGGCCACACUGGGACUGAGACACGGCCCAGACUCCUACGGGAGGCAGCAGUAGGGAAUCUUCCGCAAUGGACGAAAGUCUGACGGAGCAACGCCGCGUGAGUGAUGAAGGCUUUCGGGUCGUAAAACUCUGUUGUUAGGGAAGAACAAGUGCUAGUUGAAUAAGCUGGCACCUUGACGGUACCUAACCAGAAAGCCACGGCUAACUACGUGCCAGCAGCCGCGGUAAUACGUAGGUGGCAAGCGUUAUCCGGAAUUAUUGGGCGUAAAGCGCGCGCAGGUGGUUUCUUAAGUCUGAUGUGAAAGCCCACGGCUCAACCGUGGAGGGUCAUUGGAAACUGGGAGACUUGAGUGCAGAAGAGGAAAGUGGAAUUCCAUGUGUAGCGGUGAAAUGCGUAGAGAUAUGGAGGAACACCAGUGGCGAAGGCGACUUUCUGGUCUGUAACUGACACUGAGGCGCGAAAGCGUGGGGAGCAAACAGGGAUUAGA
rnacentral:rRNA from 1 species